ensembl:snoRNA
UGGACCAAUGAUGAUGCCUGGUGGCGAAUGAGUCAAGGAUGAUGACUGUCACGUGUCUGAAACUGAGCUCCAG